AGUGAACGCUGGCGGCGUGCUUAACACAUGCAAGUCGAACGAGAACGGAUUAUAGCUUGCUAUAAUUGUCAGCUAGGUGGCGCACGGGUGAGUAAUGUAUAGGUAAUAUGCCUCUUACUAAGGGAUAACAAAUGGAAACGUUUGCUAAUACCUUAUACUCCUUAUUAACAUAAGUUAAUAAGGGAAAGAUUUAUUGGUAAGAGAUUAGCCUGUAUUGUAUCAGUUAGUUGGUGGGGUAAUGGCUUACCAAGACUAUGACACAUAACUGGUUUGAGAGGAUGAUCAGUCACACUGGAACUGAGACACGGUCCAGACUCCUACGGGAGGCAGCAGUGGGGAAUAUUGCACAAUGGACGAAAGUCUGAUGCAGCAACGCCGCGUGGGGGAUGACACAUUUCGGUGCGUAAACUCCUUUUAUAUGAGAAGAUAAUGACGGUAUUAUAUGAAUAAGCACCGGCUAACUCCGUGCCAGCCGCCGCAGUAA
rnacentral:rRNA from 1 species